rnacentral:rRNA from 1 species
UACAGAGGUCUCAAGCGUUGUUCGGAUUCAUUGGGCGUAAAGGGUGUGUAGGUGGCGCCGUAAGUCGGGUGUGAAAUUUCGGAAGCUUAACUCCGAAACUUGCAUUCGAUACUGCGGUGCUUGAGGACUGGAGAGGAGACUGGAAAUUCAUGGUGUAGCAGUGAAAAUGCGUAGAGAUCAUGAGGAAGACCAGUGGCGAAAGGCGGUCUCUGGACAAUUCUGACAUGAGAACACGAAGGCCCAGGGAGCAAACGGGA